rnacentral:rRNA from 1 species
UACGGAGGGAGCUAGCGUUGUUCGGAAUUACUGGGCGUAAAGCGCACGUAGGCGGCUUUUUAAGUCAGGGGUGAAAUCCCGGGGCUCAACCCCGGAACUGCCCUUGAAACUGGAGAGCUAGAAUCUUGGAGAGGCGAGUGGAAUUCCGAGUGUAGAGGUGAAAUUCGUAGAUAUUCGGAAGAACACCAGUGGCGAAGGCGACUCGCUGGACAAGUAUUGACGCUGAGGUGCGAAAGCGUGGG